AAAUCUGUUUGUCACCUUGGGGGCAAAACAAUGGUAGGCAAAUUCAUCCAUCUCACAGAAUUCCUGCCAUCAUCCUCUCUACAGUUUUGGUUUUUUUCCCCUUUUCCACUACAUGUGUGUAGAGAACAGCAGAAUGACGAAAGAUGGAAUAAGAAUGACUUGAUUGACAAAUUCAGUAGAUAUUAUAUAGUGAACACAUUCUCCAGAAUUGUUUAGCAACAAGAUUUAUCUUGUGUAAAUAAGAUGGAGAAUUUCAGCAUGGCAUGGAACCAUUUCUGUCCAUCUGGCUUUGAAAGGAAAUUAUGUGGGGAAACUAGAAUUACACUUCAAGCAAUAAAAAAAUGAACCACUGAAAUGAUAUCAGUAAGAUUAAAACAAACAAACAAAAGAGAAUCCUGACUAGCACUAUUUAAAAAUAUAGAGCUGUUGUAGGAAAUAUAACAGAAGUGAGCACUGAAGGAAAUGAAGAAGUAAGGUUUGGAUUUAGUAAACGAUGCUUACUUGAUUACACCCAUAUGCAGUCACUGAUGAGCUCUUGAGCAGAACUGAUGAAAAAUUGGAUUGUUUACAUGUAUCAAACGUAGCAAAUGGGAAUCUGAACUCAAUGUGCCAAAAAACCUUGAGAAUAAAAAUGCUAGCAAUAAUUGCUACAUUUUAUGUGUCAAUGGCAUGCCAGCGAGGAUUCUGCAUCAAACCCUAGCCAAUGGAAAAAGGUUGGGUAUGUGAAACUGUAAUAUCACUUAUCUACCAAGCAGGCCACCUGAUGACUGACAACUUUAAUUUCAGCGUGAAAUUGGCUGACUGGCUGUUGAAACAUCCAUCCCUUCUGACAGGGAUGGUAGUCUCUGGAUAUUUACUACUAGAACCUUCAACACUCAUCCUCCUGCUCCACUCAUCUUCAUUCCCAGCAGCAAAGAGAACAGCCUUGGCCAAAAUCACAGCUCUCCAUUGAGGAGUGGGGCAGUGAUGGCUUCUCACUUUGUCCUCACAUUGUCCUCACAUCUCGAGGUCACAUUGCCCCUGCCUCUGUGUAAAGGUCCUUGUGCUCAUGAGAGAAUAUAAGUACUGGGGGUUGUGUCCACAGAGCACAGGCAUCCAGGUCUUUGAGGUGGGUGUGGGAGUAAAAAUCAAAGAUAUUUUAUUUUAUAUGGAAUGAAUAUGUGGAUCAGGAGUGCAGAUUUUGGAUCAGAAUCCUUAUUGUUUUCUUCUCAGGCAAAGAUAGACCCACAGAAGAAAACAGCUUGACUUUUUUCUUGGCCUGUAUGUGGCUGACCUUGCAUGAGAAAGAUAUGAAUAUGACCUUGUAUUGGGUUAAUAGCACACAUUACCUUACAGCACAGAAUGAAACCAUCUGUCUUUUCAAAAUAAAUACUAAUUGGGAGAGAGAAUAGUCAAAAUAAUCAUGACUACUGUACACUUACUAUAUUACUACAUACUGAAUAUUGCAGUGUUCUCCUGCCUGCACAGAAGAGAUAUUUAAAUAUCUGAUUAUUAUCUGUAAUUUGGUGAGCUGGAAGAAAAGUGCAUCUUGUUUUUAAGCUGCAGUCUCAUAGAUACAAAGACCUGAUGUGGUCCUGAAGCCGACUGCUUUGAAUGUCUUUGCUUAUUUAGGAUCUUCAUUAGUACUUGCAAUCAUUUAAUUAUUCUGAUAUUGAUAUUUGACAUCCACUCUGGGCUGAGAGAAUGUUUACAGCUAGACAAAAAUUCAAACAGGAGCUAGAGAGUGGAUUCCCAAAUCCUUCCAAAUCAGCCUUGAAUUGUGAGCUCCCUCCUGCAGGGCAGCUUUCUACCAGAGGAACCAUCAACAGUUCCAGGGGCUUUGCCAAAACACCACAUGAAGAUUUUGCUUUGCCUCCAAUUCUGUAUUUAAUCACACUGAGAGCUCUCCAGAGCAGUCUAGGUUCUUAGUAAAAGUCUCAUUGUGAAAAAGGUCUAUAGAAGACCUUCCUCCAUUAACUGCAAGGAGGGACAUUCCAUCAGCCUAUGCCUGAGAAUCCAAGAGACAUUCCUUGGAAAGAGGUGAUUAAUAAAAACCCCAGACCAGAAAACCUAUCUGCCUAAAUAAAAGCCUUUCUUAUGAUUUUUCUGCCUAUUAGGAUCCUAUUUACCAUUGUGAUUCUGCUUUGGCUGCCUGGUACCCCAGAGUAGUUGCAAACCUUGCCCACAGGAAUCUGGAGAGACUUUGCUGUGCCCCAGCAGGACACAGGAUACUGAUGGUGUUUAACUUUGCUAAAAUCACCAUCUCAACAAGGGCCUGAGAGAAUGGUAACGUGCAUAUGAAGCCUGAAUGCUGCAUUGACUUUUGGACUGCAACAGAAGGCUUCCACAGAAUUGAAGGAUUAAUGCUAAUUUCUGUUCAAAAAGGAAAAAAAUAGAACUGAUGAGGAUAACUUGUACACAUAGAGCAUGCUGAACACUGCAUCAGCCCAGAGACUAUUAGCACAUAAUUAAUUGAAAUGGCUUGGCACUUGGGCUUAUGUUACUGACACUAUGAGAGUUAAUGUUGGCCCACUUUCCAUGCUCAUUACAAUCCAUGUCAGUAGGAUGGACACAUUUGGAACCACUUCCUUCUCUUUGUUGCAGUAUUUGCCAAUAGCAGGGAUGCUGUGGACAGGAGAAAACAUCUCUGGCAUUGCAAUGGAGGAACAAAUUAUUCUCUGGUGCACAUUUUAAUUGCAGCAUAAUCUGGUCAGAGAAAAUUAACUCCUUCUGAUAUGGUCCAGGGAAUUGUUUUGUGAUGCUAUGAAAGGAUGCUUUGAUUUGUGGUGCUAGGUAAUCAUAAACAGCCUUGGCUCUUGUUAGCACAUGCUUGGGGGAGCUUGAGGGGCUGUCUCUCCCAAAACCUAUAUGUUGGUAAGUUUGUGAAGUCAUCUCCCAGCAAGAAACUUUUCCCCUUCUCCAGAAUCAGAUCUGCAGAGCAGAACUUUCAUUUCAUCUUUCAAGUUUUUCAUUUAUUUUCAUUUCCUUUUUUUCUUAAGGCAAAUGGGUCUUCUCUUAAGGAUGGGUCUUAUAAUUCUUGAAGAUCUAUUCCUGAAAAAAAAACCCAAAAAACCAGAUAUGCAGUCAGCCCUCAGUGCCUGGUUAAUAGCAGAGAGUGGUUGUGAGUACACCAGAGAACUGCCAGAACUUCUUGCCAGAACAUCCCACCAGGAUCAACCUUGCACAAAGAGAAACCUCCUAAGAGCCCAUCCUGCCAGCCUGUGCUCCUCACAGCUGUGGUCCCUGCACAGAAUCCUGCUUCUCCAGCAUCCCUGCACUUCCCAGCAGCUCUGCAGAUCCCGUGGUGCUGCUGGGAGCAGGCUCCAACGGCUUUUGCAACUUCCCUCACCUCUCCUGCUGGGUAUUAUAAAACAAACCCCACACUCCUCACCUAAAAAUCACUCACAGGAUAUGGAGGAGCUCCAUGGAUACAAAAUUCUGUGUUCCUAUUUACCACCAAAAAGGAAAACUACUGAAACCCGAUGUGAGGGGGAGCAGUGGGGUUCCCCCUGCCCUGGGGGAUGGAGUGACCCCCGUGCUCUGUGCUGCAGCUGGGAUGGGCACUGAGGCUCAGACAGAGGGGACUGGAUGCUCCUGUGGCUCCGUGCUGGAGUCUCCAAGACUGCAAUGUGUAUUUUGAUACCACAAAAUCCCAGAACCCCUCAUAAAAUAUGCAUCGCUUUUUUAAUGCCACGUCUUCUAAUUUUAAAAUUCAGCCCCUAAAUAAUUUAGCAGACUCGUGGAAAAAAAACCCAUAAAUAAAAAACAAACAAGUCUCCAACAAACAAAAAACCCAUCUAGGUUGUGGUACAGUUACUAAACUUGUUAAAUGUUCCCAACAAGUUGCUUAUUUCUUGUGAGGAGUGGCUGUGCCCACUAUCACCAGGCAUUGAGAUUUUUUGCUGCCUGAAAUCCAGAAAUCCCAAUGGUCUGAUCCUGCCAAAGGCAGGGUUGUGCUUAGGGGAUGUGCAACAUCACAUUUGCAGGUUUGUGAAAAAGCAGCUGGUGAGACCCUGCCAUCAGCUUCUACCUUCUCAGCCUGCUGCAAAGUGUGGUUUGUGACAUUAAUAUUAAAAUACAACUCCUCACUGGAUGCCCCACAUCCCACACUUGUCCUGGUCCAGUCCCUCAGGGCCAUCUGGUCACCCAGUCUGGACUCUGGACAGACCUGAGGACACAGAAAUGGAGAGUCCAGACCUUUCCUCAGCACUUGGUUGCAUGAUUAAAGCACCUGAUUUGGUUUGAAUGUGUGCUGUCUGCUUCCAGUUCUUCAGCCUUGUUUCUCUAUGCUAAACUAAAAGGCUCCUGCACCCCAAACUUCCUAUUUUUCCUUGUACAGGGAAUUCUGCCCCACAGAAACAACCCCAAGUUGCCUUCUAAUACCUAUUUGUCAAUAUACAAAGAGGCUCAGUAGUUUUAAAGAUGAAAUAAAGUUGUAAACCUCA